GCAGCUCUCACACACAGAGGAUCACAUCCAUUUCCUCCAGCUGAAGACCAAAGAAGAGUUGUCCCUCUUCAGACGUCCUCCAGCUGACAUUGGAUCUGAAUACAGCUCAUCCAGAACUCAG